GACGAACGCUGGCGGCGUGCCUAAUACAUGCAAGUAGAACGCUGAAGGAGGAGCUUGCUUCUCUGGAUGAGUUGCGAACGGGUGAGUAACGCGUAGGUAACCUGCCUGGUAGCGGGGGAUAACUAUUGGAAACGAUAGCUAAUACCGCAUAAUAGUAGAUGUCGCAUGACAUUUGCUUAAAAGGUGCAAUUGCAUCACUACCAGAUGGACCUGCGUUGUAUUAGCUAGUUGGUGAGGUAACGGCUCACCAAGGCAACGAUACAUAGCCGACCUGAGAGGGGGAUCGGCCACACUGGGACUGAGACACGGCCCAGACUCCUACGGGAGGAAGCAGUAGGGAAUCUUCGGCAAUGGACGGAAGUCUGACCGAGCAACGCCGCGUGAGUGAAGAAGGUUUUCGGAUCGUAAAGCUCUGUUGUAAGAGAAGAACGAGUGUGAGAGUGGAAAGUUCACACUGUGACGGUAUCUUACCAGAAAGGGACGGCUAACUACGUG
rnacentral:rRNA from 1 species